GUGUUUUAUGAAGUAAGGAAAUUGGUUAGUAGUGCCCUUGACAAGAAUGGAAAAAAUUCUAGGGCGCUAUACUACACACACACAUUUAUGGUAUUACCACCUCUUUAUAGCACCUAACAAUAUUUUGA
rnacentral:ncRNA from 1 species